rnacentral:rRNA from 1 species
CCUACGGGCGGCAGCAGUGGGGAAUAUUGGACAAUGGGGGCAACCCUGAUCCAGCCAUGCCGCGUGUGUGAAGAAGGCCCUCGGGUUGUAAAGCACUUUCAGUGGGGAAGAACGCCUGGUGGUUAAUACCCAUCAGGAAAGACAUCACUCACAGAAGAAGCACCGGCUAACUCCGUGCCAGCAGCCGCGGUAAUACGGAGGGUGCGAGCGUUAAUCGGAAUUACUGGGCGUAAAGCGCGCGUAGGUGGCUUGAUAAGCCGGUUGUGAAAGCCCCGGGCUCAACCUGGGAACGGCAUCCGGAACUGUCAAGCUAGAGUGCAGGAGAGGAAGGUAGAAUUCCCGGUGUAGCGGUGAAAUGCGUAGAGAUCGGGAGGAAUACCAGUGGCGAAGGCGGCCUUCUGGACUGACACUGACACUGAGGUGCGAAAGCGUGGGUAGCAAACAGGAUUAGAUACCCUGGUAGUC